rnacentral:rRNA from 1 species
UACAGAGGUCUCAAGCGUUGUUCGGAAUCAUUGGGCGUAAAGGGCGCGUAGGUGGUUCUGUAUGUCUACCGUGAAAGCAUACAGCUCAACUGUAUUUUGUCGGUAGAAACUGCAGGACUUGAGGCUGGGAGGGGCUGGUGGAAUUCCCUGUGUAGCGGUGAAAUGCGUAGAGAUGGGGGAGAACACUCGUGGCGAAGGCGGCCAGCUAGACCAGUUCUGACACUGAGGCGCGACAGCGUGGGGAGCAAACAGG